rnacentral:misc_RNA from 1 species
UUAAGUUCAGCGGGUAUCCCUACCUGAUCCGAGGUCAACCUUGAGAAGUGGUUCGCGGCCAACGCGACGCCGGGCCCACAGAGCGAGGUUUGUGCUACGCUCAGAGCCGACAUCGAAUCGCCGAUGAUUUUAGGGGGGGUCCGCACCCGUAGGGCGGGACGUCCCCCAACACAAGCCAGGCUUGAGAGGUGAAAUGACGC